rnacentral:rRNA from 1 species
GACGAACGCUGGCGGCGUGCCUAACACAUGCAAGUCGAACGGAAAGGCCCUGCUUUUGUGGGCUGCUCGAGUGGCGAACGGGUGAGUAACACGUGAGUAACCUGUCCCUGACUUUGGGAUAACCUCAGGAAACUGGGGCUAUUACCGGAUAGGAGCUCCUGCCGCAUGGUGGGGGUUGGUAAGUUUCGGUGGUUGGGGAUGGACUCGCGGCUUAUCAGCUUGUUGGUGGGGUAGUGGCUUACCAAGGCUUUGACGGGUAGCCGGCCUGGGAGGGUGACCGGCCCAAUUGGGACUGAGAUGCGACCCGGACUCGUACGGGAGGCAACGGUGGGGAGUGUUGCACAGUAGGCGGAAGCCUGAUGCGGCCACGCCGCGUGCGGGAUGACAGCCUGCGGGUUGUGAACCGCUUUCGCCUGUGACGAGACGUGAGUGACGGUAAUGGGUAAAGAAGCACCGGCUAACUACGUG